GAUGAACGCUGGCGGCGUGCCUAAUACAUGCAAGUCGAGCGAACGGACGAGAAGCUUGCUUCUCUGAUGUUAGCGGCGGACGGGUGAGUAACACGUGGAUAACCUACCUAUAAGACUGGGAUAACUUCGGGAAACCGGAGCUAAUACCGGAUAAUAUUUUGAACCGCAUGGUUCAAAAGUGAAAGACGGUCUUGCUGUCACUUAUAGAUGGAUCCGCGCUGCAUUAGCUAGUUGGUAAGGUAACGGCUUUCCAAGGCAACGAUGCAUAGCCGACCUGAGAGGGUGAUCGGCCACACUGGAACUGAGACACGGUCUAGACUCCUACGGGAGGCAGCAGUAGGGAAUCUUCCGCAAUGGGCGAAAGCCUGACGGAGCAACGCCGCGUGAGUGAUGAAGGUCUUCGGAUCGUAAAACUCUGUUAUUAGGGAAGAACAUAUGUGUAAGUAACUGUGCACAUCUUGACGGUACCUAAUCAGAAAGCCACGGCUAACUACGUG
rnacentral:rRNA from 1 species